UGGGGAAUUUGACAAUGGGCGAAAGCCUGAUCCAGCAAUGCCGCGUGUGUGAAGAAGGCCUUCGGGUUGUAAAGCACUUUUGUCCGGAAAGAAAUCCUUGGCUCUAAUACAGUCGGGGGAUGACGGUACCGGAAGAAUAAGCACCGGCUAACUACGUGCCAGCAGCCGCGGUAAUACGUAGGGUGCAAGCGUUAAUCGGAAUUACUGGGCGUAAAGCGUGCGCAGGCGGUUUGCUAAGACCGAUGUGAAAUCCCCGGGCUCAACCUGGGAACUGCAUUGGUGACUGGCAGGCUAGAGUAUGGCAGAGGGGGGUAGAAUUCCACGUGUAGCAGUGAAAUGCGUAGAGAUGUGGAGGAAUACCGAUGGCGAAGGCAGCCCCCUGGG
rnacentral:rRNA from 1 species